rnacentral:lncRNA from 10 species
GUGGGAUUACAAACUUGCUGGAAAUGGAUGAGAAACCUUCUGCUCUGCUGGAGUUUAUCUUGAGUGUGCCUUAAAAUUCCAUUUCAUGGAGAACUGUGCGUGGUUGAAUUUUGAUUGAUUACUCAAUUAACUGAUGUAUUGGUAGAGUGAUUAAGAAAGAAGACUUUGGGAUCAGACCAACCUGGUUUUGAAUUCAAGCUCAGCAACUUACUAGGUAAGGAGGAGAAAAGAAAGAAGGAAAAAUUGGAAAGAUAAAUGGGGUCUUUCCAGUGAAGGUGAGCUUGAUUUUUGUCUGUUGAACUUUGGCAAGACAGCAAGGGUUGGAUUAAUUAAUGAUUA